GGCUCUCCCUUUGCAGUUCAGGCUGGCCUUGAACUCACUAUGUAGCCCAGGCUGGCCUUGAACUCACAGUGAUCCUCCUGCCUCUGCCUCCCAAGUGCUGAGAUUACAGGCAUGCGCCACCAUGCCCG
rnacentral:miRNA from 1 species